AACAGUUACUUCCUAAUUGGAGUUAACUCAGGCCAGAUCAGGAAGGGGUAGCUGGCAUAGUGGACUAUUUCCAAAUGAUGCGAGUCGAAAGACUGACGCCAGUGAACUGUUGGGACUUGAUAGCCACAAUCAAUAGUUUCUAAAACAAUAAGGUCAGCACGGUAAAGAUUCAGAUUUCUUGCCUCCAAAUGGAAUGGGAAGAAGACUGGGGUGCUGAGCCAUCGAGUAGGUAUUCUGGCAUUAAGAAUGGGAUCCUGAUCAAAGGAAAUCUGAAGAAAAUGGAAAGUAUAAAUUCUUUAAUAAAAAUGUAACCAACUAUUGAAUAAAA